UACGGGGGGGGCAAGCGUUGUUCGGAAUUACUGGGCGUAAAGGGCUCGUAGGUGGCCAACUAAGUCAGACGUGAAAUCCCUCGGCUUAACCGGGGAACUGCGUCUGAUACUGGAUGGCUUGAGUUUGGGAGAGGGACGCGGAAUUCCAGGUGUAGCGGUGAAAUGCGCAGAUAUCAGGAGGAACACCGGUGGCGAAGGCGGGUCUCUGGGCCGAUACUGACGCUGAGGAGCGAAAGCGUGGGGAGCGAACAGG
rnacentral:rRNA from 1 species